GGGGGCGCAAUGGUUUCGACGGGGACUUUGAAACAAGAUAAGCAGGCGGAGGCGGAGAUCCUCCAUAAAAGCUCUAAAAACAAUAACUGAUAACAAGACUGAACUUGUUGCUGCCUAAUUAGGCAGCCGUCCGCUCAGAGAGUAUCGCGGCUCUGUGUCGGGCGUCAUUCAGCGGUGAACGUGAACUGAGAGUUCGUCCUUAUAACAGUCACGGAUAAAAGGGCUGCCCGCGCCGUUUUUUGCCGGAUGGAGCCGGCGCGGGGAGAGCAAUCGUCCGGCUGAGCCUGGAGAAAGUUUUGCGGAGGAGUUUUCGGACACGGGUUCGAUUCCCGUCGCCUCCACCA
rnacentral:tmRNA from 1 species